GACGAACGCUGGCGGCGUGCUUAACACAUGCAAGUCGAACGAAGUGGCGAACGGGUGAGUAACGCGUAAUCAACCUGCCCUUCAGAGGGGGACAACAGUUGGAAACGACUGCUAAUACCGCAUACAGAAGGAGGGGAUUGCGUCUGACUAGCUAGUUGGAGGGUGAACGGCCCAACACGGCGAUGGUGAGUAGCCGGUUUGAGAGGAUGAACGGCCACAUUGGGACGGAGACACGGCCCAGACUCCUACGGGAGGCAGCAGUGGGGAAUUUUGGACAAUGGGCGCAAGCCUGAUCCAGCCAUGCCGCGUGUCUGAAGAAGGCCUUCGGGUUGUAAAGUACUUUUGUCAGGGAAGCGGUACCUGAAGAAUAAGCACCGGCUAACUACGUGCCAGCAGCCGCGGUAAUUC
rnacentral:rRNA from 1 species